GCCGAGUUCGUCUAGUGGUAGGACGCCUGGUUCUCAUCCAGGUAACACGGGUUCGACUCCCGUACUCGGUG
rnacentral:tRNA from 1 species